rnacentral:misc_RNA from 1 species
GAUGAAGAACGCAGCGAAAUGCGAUAAGUAAUGUGAAUUGCAGAAUUCAGUGAAUCAUCGAAUCUUUGAACGCACAUUGCGCCCGCCAGUAUUCUGGCGGGCAUGCCUGUUCGAGCGUCAUUUCAACCCUCAAGCUCUGCUUGGUGUUGGGGACCGGCCGCAGCCUCAGUGCUCUGCCGCCCCCUAAAUACAGUGGCGGUCCCGCCGCAGCCUCCUUUGCGUAGUAGUAAACCACCUCGCACAUGGAACGCAGCGUGACCACGCCGUUAAACCCCCAACUUUCUGAAGUUUGACCUCGGAUCAGGUAGGAAUACCCGCUGAACUUAAGCAUAUCAAUAGCGGAGGA